rnacentral:rRNA from 1 species
AUUGCGAUGGAACAUGUUGAGAAUCCUAUUGAGGGUAACAAUGGAACUCCUAUGAGGAGUAAGAGACAGAGGACUGCAAAGUCUUUUGGUGAUGAUUUCAUUGUGUACCUCAUGGAUGACACACCCAGGACUAUUACAAAAGCCUAUGCAUCUCCUGAUGCUGACUACUGGAAGGAAGCUGUACGUAGCGAGAUGGAUUCCAUCUUAGCUAACGGUACCUGGGAGAUCACUGACCGUCCUUAUGGGUGCAAACCUGUAGGAUGUAAGUGGGUGUUCAAGAAGAAGCUUAGACCUGAUGGUACGAUUGAAAAGUACAUGGCACGGCUUGUGGCCAAGGGUUAUACCCAGAAAGAAGGUGAAGACUUCUUUGAUACUUACUCACUCGUGGCUAGACUGACCACAAUUCGGGUGCUACUAUCACUGGCUGCCUCACAUGGUCUUCUCGUUCAUCAAAUGGACGUUAAGACGGCUUUCCUCAAUGGAGAGUUGAAGGAGGAAAUUUACAUGGAUCAGCCAGAUGGUUUUGUAGUACCUGGUCAAGAAGGAAAGGUUUGCAAGUUAUUAAAGUCUUUAUAUGGCCUUAAACAAGCUCCUAAGGAGUGGCAUGAGAAUUUCGAAAGAACAUUAACUGCUGCCGGCUUUGUAGUAAACGAUGGUGACAAGUGUGUGUACUAUCGCUAUGGUGGGGGCGAAGGAAUUAUUCUUUGUCUGUAUGUCGACGACAUAUUGAUCUUUGGAACCAAACUUGAUUUAAUCAAGGAGGUUAAGUAUUUCUUAUCUCGCUGUUUUGAGAUGAAGGAUCUAGGAGUAGCUGAUGUUAUCUUAAACAUCAAGCUGUUGAGAGAUGAGAAUGGUGGGAUCACACUGCUUCAGUCUCAUUAUGUGGAAAAGGUCUUGAGUCGUUUUGGGUAUAGCGACUGCACGCCUUCUCCAACUCCAUAUGAUGCUAGUGUUGCCACGAGGCCUGACAUCUCUUUUGCUGUGAGCAAACUGAGUCGGUUUGUGUCAAAACCGGGAGAUGAUCAUUGGCAUGCGCUUGAGAGAGUUAUGUGCUAUUUGAAAGGCACCGCGAGCUAUGGGAUUCACUACACCGGGUAUCCAAGGGUACUAGAGGGUUAUAGUGACUCAAACUGGAUAUCUGAUGCUGAUGAUAUUAAGGCCACAAGUGGUUAUGUUUUUACACUUGGUAGUGACACUGCCACUGUUGAAGCAGAGUGGCUUCGUGAACUCUUGAUGGACUUACCUAUGGUUGAAAAACCGAUACCCCCUAUCCUGAUGAACUGUGAUAAUCAAACUGUGAUCGUCAAGAUAAACAGUUCUAAGGACAAUAUGAAGUCCUCAAGGCAUGUGAAGAGGAGACUAAAAUCUGUCAGAAAUUUGAGGAACUCCGGAGUUAUUACGUUGGAUUAUAUCCAAACGUCGAAAAACUUGGCAGAUCCCUUCACAAAGGGUCUAUCACGUAAUGUGAUAGAUAAUGCAUCGAUGGAGAUGGGUUUGAGACCCACC